GGCUGGGUAGCUCAGUGGAUUGAGAGCUAAGCCUAGAGGUGGGAGGUCCUAGGUUCGAAUCCAGGCCUCAGCCA
rfam:Monodelphis domestica chrTn_v05.002092 genomic scaffold, whole genome shotgun sequence.